AGAUCAGCCAGUGGAUUACCGACAUAGCUGCUGAAUAUCCCAACAUUGUCACCGUUAUAACAGCGUCACAGACAUACGAAGGCAGGAACGUCCGGGGUCUUAAGAUAUCAGCGAGCAAUACAACGAAACCAGGCCUGUGGUACCAAGGCGGUAUACACGCCCGAGAGUGGAUCUCCCCCGCCACUGUAAUAUACAUCACAGCACAGUUACUGGAACAAUACCCCACACGGUCAGGGGUGAAGGAGAUUCUGGAGGGAUUUGAUAUCUACGUCGUUCCCGUCCUCAACGCCGACGGCUACGUCUUUACGUGGACAGAGGAACGUCUCUGGAGGAAGACGAGAACAGAGCAUGGCAUUUGCAAGGGGGUCGACCCAAACAGGAAUUACGGAUUUCAGUGGGGAG